rnacentral:rRNA from 1 species
UACAGAGGGUGCGAGCGUUAAUCGGAAUUACUGGGCGUAAAGCGUGCGUAGACGGCUAUCUAAGUCGGGUGUGAAAUCCCCGGGCUCAACCUGGGAAUUGCGUUGGAGACUGCAAGGCUGGAGUCUGGCAGAGGGGGGUAGAAUUCCACGUGUAGCAGUGAAAUGCGUAGAGAUGUGGAGGAACACCGAUGGCGAAGGCAGCCCCCUGGGUCAAGACUGACGCUCAUGCACGAAAGGCGUGGGGAGCAAACAGG